UAUUCUGAACACGUGCAUGUAACAACCAAUCAUUCACUUUCCCUCCGAUAUUCAGUUGCCUGUUGAAAGUUGUUUGAGACAGCCAUUGCAUUUAUUGAAUUGCAAUAUUAUAUUAUUUGUGUGGGAUAUUUUGGAUUCCUGCAGAUACCUUUAUCGAUCUAUUAAAACUUUGAAAACAU